rnacentral:rRNA from 1 species
GAUGAACGCUGGCGGCGUGCCUAAUACAUGCCAGUCGAGCGAACAGACGAGGAGCUUGCUCCUCUGACGUUAGCGGCGGACGGGUGAGUAACACGUGGAUAACCUACCUAUAAGACUGGGAUAACUUCGGGAAACCGGAGCUAAUACCGGAUAAUAUAUUGAACCGCAUGGUUCAAUAGUGAAAGACGGUUUUGCUGUCACUUAUAGAUAGAUCCGCGCCGCAUUAGCUAGUUGGUAAGGUAACGGCUUACCAAGGCAACGAUGCGUAGCCGACCCGAGAGGGUGAUCGGCCACACUGGAACUGAGACACGGUCCAGACUCCUACGGGAGGCAGCAGUAGGGAAUCUUCCGCAAUGGGCGAAAGCCUGACGGAGCAACGCCGCGUGAGUGAUGAAGGUCUUCGGAUCGUAAAACUCUGUUAUUAGGGAAGAACAAAUGUGUAAGUAACUAUGCACGUCUUGACGGUACCUAAUCAGAAAGCCACGGCUAACUACGUG